GACGAACGCUGGCGGCGUGCUUAACACAUGCAAGUCGAACGGAAAGGCCCUGCUUUUGUGGGGUGCUCGAGUGGCGAACGGGUGAGUAACACGUGAGUAACCUGCCCUUGACUUUGGGAUAACUUCAGGAAACUGGGGCUAAUACCGGAUAGGAGCUCCUGCUGCAUGGUGGGGGUUGGAAAGUUUCGGCGGUUGGGGAUGGACUCGCGGCUUAUCAGCUUGUUGGUGGGGUAGUGGCUUACCAAGGCUUUGACGGGUAGCCGGCCUGAGAGGGUGACCGGCCACAUUGGGACUGAGAUACGGCCCAGACUCCUACGGGAGGCAGCAGUGGGGAAUAUUGCACAAUGGGCGGAAGCCUGAUGCAGUAACGCCGCGUGCGGGAGGACGGCCUUCGGGUUGUAAACCGCUUUCGCCUGUGACGAAGCGUGAGUGACGGUAAUGGGUAAAGAAGCACCGGCUAACUACGU
rnacentral:rRNA from 1 species